GCCGGGCGCGGCUUCCUGGGUCUCCUCCGCCCCGGCUGGGGGAGGAAGCCAGUAUUGCACCACUAUACUCCAGCCUGGGCAACAAAGUCAGAGUCUGUCUCAAAAAAAAAAAAAAAAAAAGAAAUGAAGAAGGAGGAGAAUACUUGUAUUGGGAUAAAGUAGAAAGAGUCACUGGAAUUAAAGUUAACUAAAAAACUCAUAAACUUUAGAAUGGUAUUGAGAAAUUGUAACGUGAACUGAAAAAGGCUCAUGGGAUUUUAGAGCCAAGAAGGUCUUGAGUGGCAGUUCCUACCUUGGUAGGAAUAGCUUCAGUGGUGUGUUGCAGGUGGAACCCAGAUUAAAGUGGGUUAAAAAGUAAGUGAAGGCAAGGAAGAUAAAUUUUUCAACAGGUUUGUCUGUGAAGAGUCCAGGCUAUUAGAUUGAUAGAGGGAGAAAGGCAGUUAAAGGGUUUU
rnacentral:lncRNA from 1 species